rnacentral:rRNA from 1 species
UGGCUCAGAACGAACGCUGGCGGCAGGCUUAAUACAUGCAAGUCGAACGGCUCUUCGGAGCAGUGGCGGACGGCUGAGUAACGAGUGGGAACGUGCCAUAAGGUACGGAACAACUGAGGGAAAUUUCAGCUAAUACGGUAUGUGCCCUACGGGGGAAAGAUUUAUCGCCUUAGGAGCGGCCCGCGUUGGAUUAGCUAGUGGGUGGGGUAAAGGCCUACCAAGGUUAGGAUCCAUAGUUGGUCUGAGAGGAUGAUCAGCCACACUGGGAUUGAUUCACGGCCCAGAGUACCUACGGGAGGCA